GGGAUUGCCCUAGUAACGGCGAGUGAAGCGGCAACAGCUCAAAUUUGAAAUCUGGCCUUUGGUCCGAAUUGUAAUUUGUAGAGGAUGCUUUUGGUGCGGUUCCUUCCGAGUUCCCUGGAACGGGACGCCAUAGAGGGUGAGAGCCCCGUACGGUUGGAUACCUAUCCUUUGUAAAGCUCCUUCGACGAGUCGAGUAGUUUGGGAAUGCUGCUCUAAAUGGGAGGUAAAUUUCUUCUAAAGCUAAAUACCGGCCAGAGGCCGAUAGCGCACAAGUAGAGUGAUCGAAAGAUGAAAAGCACUUUGAAAAGAGGGUUAAAUAGCACGUGAAAUUGUUGAAAGGGAAGCGCUCAUGACCAGACUUUUGCCAUUCGGAUCAUCCGGUGUUCUCACCGGUGCACUUCGUUUGGUUUAGGCCAGCAUCGGUUUUUGUAGGGGGAUAAAGACUUUAGGAACGUAGCUCUUUCGGGAGUGUUAUAGCCUAUUGUGUAAUACCCUUACGGAGACCGAGGCUCGCGCUCUGCAAGGAUGCUGGCAUAAUGGUCAUCAGCGA
rnacentral:rRNA from 1 species